GGGGACGGCUGUUCUAAAGGGUAGGAGGUGGAGGGAGGCUCCCAGGCUCCAUCCCUUCCUCAGAGCAGGGCAGAGUGGGGACAAUGAGGUGUCUGCCACGGGUAGUUCUGGUUGGUAUCCAUGCAGCAAAGAGCCCCCAAGACACCUCAGGUACAGAAGGGCAGCAAGAGGGGGCUCAGCUCUUUGGGAGGAGAUGAGGAGGAUGGAGGCUUCUAUCUGGGGGGGAAGCUCUAGAGUACUCAAGAAGCAUCAAGAAAUCCCAACUUAACCGCACUCUUGGAGAGCAUGCCCUGUUACUAUGGAGAGGGCUGGUUUUCUCAUGGUCUUAGCAGUGUGGGAUGUGUUGUCAUGGUUAACCAAUCCUCCUGAGCCUUUCCAGGACUCCUAGAAGGUUCCUAGGAGUUUCACUGAGAAUUGAAUGGGAAAAAAACCCAAAACCAGGUAGUUAGGGCUCCCCUGACAGUAGGGGGCUCCAGUUACCCAUAGGACAAACAUAAAUGUUUGCAUUGUAGGAGAUUUGUUUUGGUAGCGUUAUUGGAAGUAGAGUUUAAGAUACAUGCUUAAAUAUCUUUUACAAAGGAUAUCUUAAAGGGCUGUCAUUAUAGAAGGUACUCAGAAAAAGUAAGACCAGAGCCGUUAUUCACAGUAUCUAGUAUCUGUCAGAUAUGUAGCAUGAGAUAAUUAUUGAAAAUUUAUAAUAUCAUUAUCAUCAACACUUAUAGAAGGUUUAAUAAGUGUCUGUACUAAGUGCUUUACAUUCAUUAUCUCAUUUAAUCCUCAUAACAACCCUGGGAUAAUAAUAACUGUAGGUAACCAGAGACAGAGUCAUGGUCAACUGCCCAAAGUCACACAGGGCUCUCCCCAAGCUUGCUUUCUUUGAACCACUAGAACUUACUGCUGGGAAAUCCUUCUUUUCCUUGUGAAUAGUCACAAGUAUCCUGGAAACCAGCCAAGCCUUUAUAGGAAGGCUCUUGUUCUGGGCUUGGAGGGAGAGAAUAUUUAUCAUACUGUGGGGGUAGAAAGAAAAACAGGAAAUGGUCUCAUUUGUUUUGAAAUCUGAAACUAAAUGUCAAGUGUUCAAUCCUUUCAGCGAAGUGGAUUUUUGUUUCUUUUCAUUUGGCCAUUGCAGGUCUGUUUUGUGUGUGUGUGUGUGUUGCGCGGAGGGUCCAUGUUUUCAGACCCAAAGUUCCCUUUACCUCUCUUAUUGGUUCAGGAUCAGACCAGGAGGCAGGGAACCCGGAUUCCAGCCCCGGCUGCUCUCUGGCUCCUGGAAUCUUCGUUUUCUUGCGUGUGGGAGUAGGGGGAUAGCACCACCUCCCUCAGAGCUCAGGUUGGCACGUCAAGUGUGCACAGACAUGCAGCAUCACUGUCGUCAGGAAGAUGCAGAGGGAGAGUUGAGGCACUUGACAGGGAGUAGCUGUGCGUGAGAUCCACGCGGCUUCCUUUUGAGGGGGCCUGAAUGAGGGAACGGGCAUGCUUCUGAGCGUGGAAAGCUCUGCAGAGGUAUAUUUUUGAGACUGAUGCAAAAUCCCAGGCAGUGACGUUCUAGUGACUCAGCCCAGUGGGUGGAAGUGAUUUUAAAUAAUGACAGUAUCAACCGUCUUCCUCUUCCCGCAGUGUCACACACCAUCAAACACAAACUCUCUGGCUCUGCACCCACCGAGUCGGCUAGUCUCUGCGGGCCAGAAAUGCAUGGAACUACGCAUGUAGGUCACAGUGCAGCCCUCGCAGCCAAGGGGGUAAAACUACACAUCUGCCCAGCAGUGUCCUUCCUUCUCUUCCCCACAACCAAGCCCAGAUAAACAAGGGGUGAUAAAAAGGUCACCUUGCACAUUCCCCAGAUUUGGACAGUCCUUUCAGAGUGAAGUGGGGUGUAAUUUUAGCCGUCACCGUCAGGGAAGAGGCCACUUGAGUUAAUUAGAAAGGGAAGCCACCCAAUUUCAGUUAAAACCAUUUAGAAAUUGGUGGCAUUUUAGAGAGAAAGCAACUGCCAUAAUUGGAUCAGGCAGCUCACAGAUGUCUCUUUUCAGACAGAACAAUAGGGGAGUCAGCUCAGGAAAGAGGGUGUGCAGGUCAUGGCCGGGUUUGGAGCUAGUGAGUUUCUCUGCGACCAGCACAGAGAUUGACUCAUGGAACCGAAACAGUGCCUGGCCCCUGGGUCCCUACGACGCUUAUGUCCCCCUUGACCCCCGGGGGCCUCCGGAGGUGAGGGGCCGAUCAGGUAUUUUUCUGGGGCUUCAGAAGGAUUGCAGGGACCCUUGGGCUAGCAGUGGGAGGAAAAAGGAGGGUGGUUUCUUAGGAGAAGAGAGCUCAUGAAUAAAAAUGAGUUAGAGAUGGAAAAGGUGAGAUCGGAAGAGAACACUAAGCACGGAGGCUGUUGUGUGGGUCGGGUUGCAGGGGUAGAAGCCUUGGGGUGGCUCACUCCAAACCCUGAGGCCCCAGAUUGGGAGAUGCAUGACUAAGGAACAUUCACUGUGUACUGUCAGGACAAAAGCAAAUGAAAAACAAGGGGUUCCAUCUUCCCUGUUGAAAAUAAAGGAAGAGAUUUCCCUUUCCUUCAGAAAGCUUGUCAUUGUAAGUACUUUCUUCCUUCUUUGAGAGAGAUAUAAAUCCUUUUAAAGACUAGAUGGGCAUUUUGUCCCUUUUAUGACCCAGGGAUGGCUUCCUCGGGCACCUCUUUGAAACGCAAACACCAAGGGAGAUGGCCCCUGUCUUCCAGCUUAGGUGGGAGGCCAGGCGCCCCCCCCCCCUCUAAAUUGCAAAACAACCUCCUGUCAGGAAGGAGGAGAAGUUUGUUUUUCCUCUGGAUAAAGUCAGUUAGCUAACUAACUGGUCACCCCAAUUACCACGUAAAGUUAGGAUGAACUGAGUAUGACCAAUGGUGCUGUCAAGUCCUCUGACUUGAGGACCAGUGAUGGUUUAUCCUGAGAACAUGUAUGUCAUGGGUUGUAUCUGUGUGGCUCUCUAAAAGGGUGAGAUUUCUGUCUGCCUCUGUAAUCCGUGGUGGAUUGCCUGUGCCGUGCAUCAGCUUCUGGUUUAAUGCUUGUUCAAUAACAAAACGGAUUUUGUUCUCCACUACUUUGUGGAGAGAAUUUCUGGGUUGGGAGAAGAUUUUGUUUUUAGUUAUAUUUUCGCAAUAGUACCCACCAUGUGUCUGUUCUGUGCCUGACCUCCUGCAUUAAGUCCAUAUUUGUAAGUACAGUGUACGCCACCUUGGCUUUUUAUAGCUAAAGUUCUCUCAAAGGAUCCAGCAUUUUCCAAUAGAUGAUCUUAAAGCUUAGAGAAGGAUCAGAUAUUCAUUUUGUGAUGGUUCCUGAGAGUAAGGGACUUGUCCAAGCUCAUGCAGCCUGGAGAAAAACAAGGGACUGUUAAAUUCCUGGACUCCAGGACUCUCGUACCUGCUGCCAUAUCACCCAUCCUACAGGAGCCCACAUUAUUUGGAUUUUCACUGUAUUACACUAUUAUAAUUUCUUUUAUAAAUCACUUACAAUGUUCAGAUUUCCCCCAAAUUCCUCAUCAUGGUCUGCUUCAUCACAUUUGAUGAAUUUUAGAAAAGCAGUUUGAUCCACUUCUAAGUAGGUGUGUGAGAGAAAUGAGUGCAUAUUUCCACAGAAUGACUUGUACAUUCAUGUUCAUAGCAGUUUUAUUCACGAUAGCCAAACGUGGAAAGAACCCAAACACCUAUCAACAGGUGUGUAGAUAAGACAAUUGUGAUCUGUCCAUACUGUGGAACACUACUCAGCCAUUAGAAUAAAUAAAUGGUUGAUACAUGCAAAACCCUUAGUGAGUCUCAAAAACAUUAUACUGAGCUAGAGAAGCCAGACACAAAAGAGUAUAUACUACGUGAUUCCACUUAGAUGCAAUUCUAUAAGAAGCCAACUAAUCUAUGGUGAUAGAAAGCAGCUCCGUGGUUUCCUGGGGUGGAAGUGGCUGAGACUGACUGCAGAUGGGCACGUGGGAACUUUGGGGAAUGGUGGAGAUGUUCUACGUCUUGAUUAGGAUGGAGGUUGCACAGGUGUAUCCAUUUAUCAAAACAACCUGUAUACAUAAAAUGGGUGUAGUUAAUUGUAUAUAAUGUAUACUUCAGUAAAGUUAAUUCAAGAACUAAUCCUGUUUUUCUUCACGCACAAAAUUUGAAAUAAAAAAAUGCAGUUUGCUUUCUCAUCCCAGGUGACCUGGUUCGUAUGAAGAUGGGAGCAUAGCCCUUCUGCAGAGCCCUCUGAAUACGUCACAAGCUCAAACGGGCGUUAAGGUUAUCCUGGUCCAUCCGCGAUCUCUGAGAAGUAAACAGGGGCCUGGCUCGUAAUAACACGCAGCUGGGAGUGGUGUGUUCCCAGCGUUCUUCUCUGUGGGAAAGCCUGCCCUGUCAGAAGAAUAAAGCGCAGCCCACAGCUAGCAGGGCUGGUGAGGAAUCAUGAUGCUUUUAUAGGAAGGAAAGGGCUGUGAUUCACACGUGUCAGAGUUGAUGGGAAAAUUAAGGGCUCCCUUCCCCAAGGAGGGGCAAUAGAACUCUCUCUUUAAAUAUUACAUUUCUUUAAAUAAAAAGAAAAGUCACUUCAGCUCCUCCCCACUGAUUUCAUUUGGGAGAAACACCUGUCAGGUUUUGUAUUUGGUUAAGUCAAAUCCUUCCUCUGAACAAGGCAGUGCAGGGGGUAGGAAGAUCACCUAACUCUUGUUGGUGUUUACUUAAUGUAGAGAGAAAACACGCCUCUCUCUCCGUCACAUGAGCCAUCGCUCCCGCUAGGCGAAGGCAGGGACAUCGCCCUUCUCUGACCGGGUUACCACCCUCAAUUAAGGGUCAGGCAGAGAAAGAUGGGCCUGAAUUGUAAUUCAGUGUUUCAAAACAGACAUCAUGGAGCCGGCAGAUCAUCAGAUUGGGGGCCUAGAGAGAUUUUUAGAGGCCUUUGUACAUUCAUCAGAUUUCCAUCUGUCUUAAGUGUGGGCUUGCAUGAGGGUGUGGGGGAAGAAAGUAACGGAGCAGAGAUUUGAGUGAUGCAUCUACAAACCAAGGAACACCAAGGAUUUCUGGCCAUCACUGGAGAGGAGGGAGGCACGCAACAGGUUCAGCCUCAGAGCAUCAGAACAAACCAAUCCUGCCAGCACCUAAUUUCUGACUUCUAGCCUCCAGAGCCAUGAGAAUACAUUUCGGUUGUUUUAGCAUCCAGUUUGUGGUACUUUGCUCCGGUAGCCCUAGGAAGCUAAUACAGGAGCCCUAGCAGGAGAAAGAACUUGGUGUGUCUGGAGAAAGGUCAGAAGGCCGACGUGGCUGGAGGUGAUGAGUGAGGAGAGGGCCUCCAUAGUCCCCCCCUGCCUGGGCUGUGGGCUGCCCCCAGGUGGCCACUGGGGGAUCCUUCCAGCCCCACACGCUGGCCUCUUGCCAUGGAGAGAGCAUGCAGAUUGAGUCACAGGAGCUGGGUUCAGCCUCCCGCUCCCUCUGCUUGUAGCUGUGUAACUCACAUUUCCACUUUCCUCAUCUGUAACACGCGAGGAUGUUCAUGACGAGCUUGGCCUGUCCAUCUCUUGGGGUGCUAGCGAGGAGCAGCAGAAGUGUUUGAAAGCCUGCUGUGAAUCCUGCACCAGGGUGUCAGAUGCAACUAACUAGUCCUGCUGGUUCAGAGUUUCAGCAGAGACCCCCCAAAGGAAAAGAAAAUAGGAUGCUGCAUAUCUAGGCCUCACUAAGAGAUUAUGAGAUCAGUGUGGAAACCGCUAGCCCAUCACCUGCCUGGAGACUAAGUAAGAUGAGGCUGGGGGACCCAGCAAGAGACAGGCAGGGAGGAGUUCUCCAGAGUGAGAGCUGUGCAGGAAUGGGGGGGCAGGUGCUUCUCCCCUCACACCCCCCGGUCCCCACAAGAAGCCUAGUGAAACUCAGAGGCUUCGAAACGCCCACAGAGAGCUCGACAGGUACCCUCCAGAGUUGGAGGGACAAAGGGACUGAUACUUGAGCCACUGAUACAGAGACUGGUUGGAGUGGCCUAGGGUGGCGGGCUGAGGAAAGGGGUGCGCUGCAGUGAGCUGCACACAGGACCGCAGGGCUCAGGAGGGAGUUUCCAUGGCGGCGGGGGGACCCUCAGAAGAGAGCUGUGCUGAGUUGCCUUGAAAGGGACUCUGCCCCAAAGGACCAUCUGCAAGGCAAGGUGACCCCAGCAGAGUGACUCAGGGUGGGGUGGGUGGCAGAAGCCAGGGCUGGGAGCCAUUGUACGUGGGCAGCUUGAGGAGCAGCACCUGUGUGCAGUGCGUCCUCACAGCGGGAUCUCCGGGGGAUCUGCAGAAGCUCCCCAUGGGAACGAGUAAGCGUCUGGGCAGGACAUACCCAGGCACUGGUUCCAGACACCCGCGCUGAUCAAGCAGUCUCCUGGCAUUCCCUGUCCCCCUUCUCUGCUCCAAGUCUGGAGGGAUCAGAAGAGGAUUUGAGCAAGGUGAGGAACUGGGGAGAAGUCCUCCAUGUUCCUCCUCCUUUAUUUUGAGUUUCUUAGCCUGAGUCAGGCCUGAAUUGUAAACUGGAUGUGGGGUUAUCGCUUUGAGGUAGACUGAACUGGACUUCCAAUACUCGAAAAAGGAGACUAUUCAUUAAUAAAUAGAAUGACUGGAAAAUCUAUGGGACUUUUCUUGGAAUUUAUCCAGGGAGAGGGAAGAACAACUUGACAGCAGUUGCUUAAAGAAGCAGUGGUCAGAAUCAAGAUGUUUUUCUGUUCAUACCAUACUGAAUUUUCCUCUCUUAACAAAGAGCUUCUAGUUAGAUAAAUUAACCUUAGAACCUCCUUUCCUGGGAAUAAAAGGAUCAACAGAGCCCACUCUCUUUAUUGUGUCUAAACACAUAUUCACAUAGGGACAUGUUUUAAACAAUUAUUAAAUACGGGGUGCUAGAAACCAUUGUUCUCUUUCAUUAAUUUUAUUUAGGUUGAAUCUUGAGUUAGCAAUAGGAGAGGCCUAGGGUUUCAGAUUUCAAAGCCAAGAAUUUCAAAGACUGAGGUUGGAAAACCCCAUUCCCAGGAGUUCUGCAGGGGCAAGCCAGCCACCUGGAUGCAGGCCCCUGCGGGGGUAGCUUGCCUGAAUCUCCUACUGAGGCCUGGGGGCUAGUGAGAGUAGGGCUUUGGCGGCAGGUUUCUGUGGUCCCCUUCCUCUGUCCUCUGUCUGACAAUACCCCAAUUACUCAUUUGGCACUUAUAUCCUGUCAUCCUGUCACAGUUCAUUGAUUUUUACUGUACGAAUACUAACUCUUGGACUAGACCAUAAACUCCUUCAAGGUAGGAGUCUUGUUUUGAACAUUUUGUGUCCCCAUUUUAUCAUUCUUUCCAAACAACGUAUGCCAGGUAAGGUGCCGGGGCUGGAUAUGGAGUUGAGACCUGGACCACCUUCCCGGAGUUCAGCCAGGGGAGAUCGGUAAGUAAACAGAACUCUGGCUGUGUUUGCUCUGGGCUGUGCACUGGUAGUCCAGGGCCAUCUCAUAUCCUCCCUUCUCCACCUUUUCUCUUGGAAGCCAUCCCAUACCUGAGAGGCUGCUUCCUCUCAACUUCAGAGGUGGCACCUGUGGUCCAGGCCACAGGUAUUAACAAUCCUGAACUAAUUUCCCCCUCCACACACACAGUGAGUGGACACGUGACUGAAGAGGUGGGCCCGCUGAGGGAGCCUGCUUUCCUGCUGAACUUGAACCCAAGAGGUUGAGGUAGAGGCUGCUGCAGUCAGGAUGCCUGAGCCUGUAUGUUCUCCUCAGGUUCUAGUCUGAGCUGAAUUUUCUAUCAACCAAUAGAAAAUACAGAGAAGUGUUAUGAGGGAGUGGCGUUAUGGGAUCACGUAUGAUUACAUGUCACAAAUGUGUGUGUGUGUGUGUCUGAUGGCUUCUAGGAGGAAGUGACACCCGAACCAAACCUUGAAGGACCAGCAGGAGUUAACCAGAGCUGUUGCUUGCAGAGACUGGCAGGUCUGCACUUGCAUCCUGACAUCAGAAGUGAACAGCUGUGGCCCUACAGUUACCUGACAGCCUAGCCCAGUGGGAGCAAUGCAGAAUAGAGCUCAGUUUGCAUCCUGGCUCUGUCAACUACUUCGUAUUAUAGUUUGUGCAAGUAAGCUCAGACCUUUCAGCCUUGGUUUCUUCACCUGUGAAGUGGGAUGAUACUAUCUUGGCAGUAUAAAGUGACUGGCACAUGGUCGAUGCUUCAGAAGUAGAAGCUACUGCUCCUGAGACAGCGAACACAGAAGGAGGAGCCAUUGAAAGAGAAAGACACUAAAGGAGCCUAACUGUCACGGGAGAGCCUCAAGAUCCGUCCUGAGGGAGUGGAAUUUGCUCAGAAUAAAGUGCAUUGGCUGGUUGGCUACUCCACGAAUGGAAACGUGGUUGUCUAUUGCUGCAGACUGUAAACAGAGCCAUGGUGCCUCCACACAGCAGUCAACCCUGCAGCUGGAAACAGAGCAAGGAAGUUCUUUACGUACCGCCAUGGACGGGUCCACAGGACAUGUUCCCAAGGGAAAAGUGUGAGGUUCAGAACAGUAUGUAUAAUCUAUUGCUUAUAUAGCAAAGUGAAAUCCAUAAACUAUCUUGGGAAUAUCACACAUCAUCUAAUGACAUUGGUUGUCUAUGGAGGAGGGGAGCUGGGUGACUGGUGGUAGUGGUGAGAGAAGGAAUUCUCAGCGUAAUAAUUCUAAUAACUCUUCUAAAUCUUUAACGCAUGAAAUUAAAUCACCUACUUAAUCAUAUCAGAAAAGAAAUUUAAGGAUAUGGCCUAUGAAGUCGAGCCGUCCUGGGUUUGAGUUUGGCUCCAUAAUUUAUUGCUGUGUGAUACUGAACAAAUUAUUCAA